rnacentral:rRNA from 1 species
GAUGAACGCUGGCGGCGUGCCUAAUACAUGCAAGUCGAACGAAACUUCUUUAUCACCGAGUGCUUGCACUCACCGAUAAAGAGUUGAGUGGCGAACGGGGGAGUAACACGUGGGCAACCUGCCCAAAAGAGGGGGAUAACACUUGGAAACAGGUGCUAAUACCGCAUAACCAUAGUUACCGCAUGGUAACUAUGUAAAAGGUGGCUAUACUACCGCUUUUGGAUGGGACCGCGGCGCAUGAGCUAGUUGGUAGGGUAAAGGCUUACUAAGGCAAUGAUGCGUAGCCGAAUUGAGAGGUUGAUCGGCCACAUUGGGACUGAGACACGGCCCAGAGUCCUACGGGAGGCAGCAGUAGGGAAUCUUCGACACUGGGCGGAAGCCUGAUGGAGCAACGCCGCGUUGGUGAAGAAGGUCUUCGGAUCGUAAAACCCUGUUGGUAGAGAAGAAAGUGCGUGCGAGUAACUGUUCACGUUGCGACGGUAUCUAACCGGAAAGCCACGGCUAACUACGUG